GUGUUCUUUUAACUUAUUUUUCAAUUUCUUAAUCUCAGUGGGAGCCAUUCUGUAAAGAGUAAUUGAGAGAAGUUGGGUAUCCGAAAGAAGUCGCCCUCUGCAUCGUUAUUUUUUCCAUAGAUAUCUAAUUUAUCUUGUCAUUUAUUCCUUUUUGGUCUUUAUUAAUUUAUAUAAUCAUCAUCAUCCAGCUGCUCCUGCC
rnacentral:lncRNA from 1 species